ACUCCUACGGGAGGCAGCAGUGGGGAAUAUUGCACAAUGGGCGAAAGCCUGAUGCAGCAACGCCGCGUGAGGGACGACGGCCUUCGGGUUGUAAACCUCUUUUAGUAGGGAAGAAGCUUUCGAGUGACGGUACCUGCAGAAAAAGCACCGGCUAACUACGUGCCAGCAGCCGCGGUAAUACGUAGGGUGCAAGCGUUGUCCGGAAUUAUUGGGCGUAAAGAGCUCGUAGGCGGUUUGUCGCGUCUGCUGUGAAAUCCGGGGGCUCAACCUCCGGCCUGCAGUGGGUACGGGCAGACUAGAGUGCGGUAGGGGAGAUUGGAAUUCCUGGUGUAGCGGUGGAAUGCGCAGAUAUCAGGAGGAACACCAAUGGCGAAGGCAGAUCUCUGGGCCGUAACUGACGCUGAGGAGCGAAAGCAUGGGGAGCGAACAGGAUUAGAUACCCUGGUAGUCCAUGCCGUAAACGUUGGGAACUAGGCGUAGGGUCCAUUCCACGGAUUCUGUGCCGCAGCUAACGCAUUAAGUUCCCCGCCUGGGGAGUACGGCCGCAAGGCUAAAACUCAAAGGAAUUGACGGGGGCCCGCACAAGCGGCGGAGCAUGC
rnacentral:rRNA from 1 species